rnacentral:rRNA from 1 species
UGNCGACGAUCUGUAGCUGGUCUGAGAGGAUGAUCAGCCACACCGGGACUGAGACACGGCCCGGACUCCUACGGGAGGCAGCAGUGGGGAAUAUUGGACAAUGGGGGAAACCCUGAUCCAGCCAUGCCGCGUGUGUGAAGAAGGCCUUUUGGUUGUAAAGCACUUUAAGCAGUGAAGAAGACUCUUCGGUUAAUACCCGGAGACGAUGACAUUAGCUGCAGAAUAAGCACCGGCUAACUCUGUGCCAGCAGCCGCGGUAAUACAGAGGGUGCAAGCGUUAAUCGGAAUUACUGGGCGUAAAGCGAGCGUAGGUGGCUUGAUAAGUCANAUGUGNNUCCCCGGGCUUANNCUGGGAACUGCAUCUGAAACUGUUAGGCUAGAGUAGNUGAGAGGG